UACGUAGGGUGCGAGCGUUGCCCGGAUUUAUUGGGCGUAAAGGGCUCGUAGGCGGUUCGUCACGUCGGGAGUGAAAACUCGGGGCUUAACCCCGAGCCUGCUUCCGAUACGGGCAGACUAGAGGUAGACAGGGGAGAGCGGAACUCCUGGUGUAGCGGUGGAAUGCGCAGAUAUCAGGAAGAACACCGGUGGCGAAGGCGGCUCUCUGGGCCUUACCUGACGCUGAUGCGCGAAAGCCAGGGGAGCAAACGGG
rnacentral:rRNA from 1 species